rnacentral:rRNA from 1 species
CUUGCUGGGUGGAUUAGUGGCGAACGGGUGAGUAACACGUGAGUAACCUGCCCCCGACUCUGGGAUAAGCCCGGGAAACUGGGUCUAAUACCGGAUAUUACCUUUGACCGCAUGGUUGUUGGUGGAAAGAUUUAUCGGUGGGGGAUGGACUCGCGGCCUAUCAGCUUGUUGGUGAGGUAAUGGCUCACCAAGGCGACGACGGGUAGCCGGCCUGAGAGGGUGACCGGCCACACUGGGACUGAGACACGGCCCAGACUCCUACGGGAGGCAGCAGUGGGGAAUAUUGCACAAUGGGCGAAAGCCUGAUGCAGCGACGCCGCGUGAGGGAUGACGGCCUUCGGGUUGUAAACCUCUUUCAGUAGGGAAGAAGCGAAAGUGACGGUACCUGCAGAAGAAGCGCCGGCUAACUACGUGCCAGCAGCCGCGGUAAUACGUAGGGCGCAAGCGUUAUCCGGAUUUAUUGGGCGUAAAGAGCUCGUAGGCGGUUUGUCGCGUCUGCCGUGAAAGUCCGAGGCUCAACCUCGGAUCUGCGGUGGGUACGGGCAGACUAGAGUGAUGUAGGGGAGACUGGAAUUCCUGGUGUAGCGGUGAAAUGCGCAGAUAUCAGGAGGAACACCGAUGGCGAAGGCAGGUCUCUGGGCAUUUACUGACGCUGAGGAGCGAAAGCAUGGGGAGCGAACAGGAUUAGAUACCCUGGUAGUCCAUGCCGUAAACGUUGGGCACUAGGUGUGGGGGACAUUCCACGUUUUCCGCGCCGUAGCUAACGCAUUAAGUGCCCCGCCUGGGGAGUACGGCCGCAAGGCUAAAACUCAAAGGAAUUGACGGGGGCCCGCACAAGCGGCGGAGCAUGCGGAUUAAUUCGAUGCAACGCGAAGAACCUUACCAAGGCUUGACAUGUGCCAGACCGCCUCAGAGAUGGGGUUUCCCUUCGGGGCUGGUUCACAGGUGGUGCAUGGUUGUCGUCAGCUCGUGUCGUGAGAUGUUGGGUUAAGUCCCGCAACGAGCGCAACCCUCGUUCCAUGUUGCCAGCACGUAAAGGUGGGGACUCAUGGGAGACUGCCGGGGUCAACUCGGAGGAAGGUGGGGAUGACGUCAAAUCAUCAUGCCCCUUAUGUCUUGGGCUUCACGCAUGCUACAAUGGCCGGUACAAUGGGUUGCGAUACUGUGAGGUGGAGCUAAUCCCUAAAAGCCGGUCUCAGUUCGGAUUGGGGUCUGCAACUCGACCCCAUGAAGUCGGAGUCGCUAGUAAUCGCAGAUCAGCAACGCUGCGGUGAAUACGUUCCCGGGCCUUGUACACACCGCCCGUCAAGUCACGAAAGUUGGUAACACCCGAAGCCGAUGG